rnacentral:rRNA from 1 species
ACACAUGCAGUCGAGCGGUAGCACAGAGAGCUUGCUCUCGGGUGACGAGCGGCGGACGGGUGAGUAAUGUCUGGGAAACUGCCUGAUGGAGGGGGAUAACUACUGGAAACGGUAGCUAAUACCGCAUAAUGUCGCAAGACCAAAGUGGGGGACCUUCGGGCCUCAUGCCAUCAGAUGUGCCCAGAUGGGAUUAGCUAGUAGGUGGGGUAACGGCUCACCUAGGCGACGAUCCCUAGCUGGUCUGAGAGGAUGACCAGCCACACUGGAACUGAGACACGGUCCAGACUCCUACGGGAGGCAGCAGUGGGGAAUAUUGCACAAUGGGCGCAAGCCUGAUGCAGCCAUGCCGCGUGUGUGAAGAAGGCCUUCGGGUUGUAAAGCACUUUCAGCGGGGAGGAAGGCGUUAAGGUUAAUAACCUUGGCGAUUGACGUUACCCGCAGAAGAAGCACCGGCUAACUCCGUGCCAGCAGCCGCGGUAAUACGGAGGGUGCAAGCGUUAAUCGGAAUUACUGGGCGUAAAGCGCACGCAGGCGGUCUGUCAAGUCGGAUGUGAAAUCCCCGGGCUCAACCUGGGAACUGCAUUCGAAACUGGCAGGCUAGAGUCUUGUAGAGGGGGGUAGAAUUCCAGGUGUAGCGGUGAAAUGCGUAGAGAUCUGGAGGAAUACCGGUGGCGAAGGCGGCCCCCUGGACAAAGACUGACGCUCAGGUGCGAAAGCGUGGGGAGCAAACAGGAUUAGAUACCCUGGUAGUCCACGCCGUAAACGAUGUCGAUUUGGAGGUUGUGCCCUUGAGGCGUGGCUUCCGGAGCUAACGCGUUAAAUCGACCGCCUGGGGAGUACGGCCGCAAGGUUAAAACUCAAAUGAAUUGACGGGGACCCGCACAAAACGGCAGGCGUGGCUAUUCGAUGCACGCGAGAACCUUACCUGGUCUUGACAUCCACAGAACUUUCCAGAGAUGGAUUGGUGCCUUCGGGAACUGUGAGACAGGUGCUGCAUGGCUGUCGUCAGCUCGUGUUGUGAAAUGUUGGGUUAAGUCCCGCAACGAGCGCAACCCUUAUCCUUUGUUGCCAGCGGUUCGGCCGGGAACUCAAAGGAGACUGCCAGUGAUAAACUGGAGGAAGGUGGGGAUGACGUCAAGUCAUCAUGGCCCUUACGACCAGGGCUACACACGUGCUACAAUGGCAUAUACAAAGAGAAGCGACCUCGCGAGAGCAAGCGGACCUCAUAAAGUAUGUCGUAGUCCGGAUUGGAGUCUGCAACUCGACUCCAUGAAGUCGGAAUCGCUAGUAAUCGUAGAUCAGAAUGCUACGGUGAAUACGUUCCCGGGCCUUGUACACACCGCCCGUCACACCAUGGGAGUGGGUUGCAAAAGAAGUAGGUAGCUUAACCUUCGGGAGGGCGCUUACCACUUUGUGAUUCAUGACUGGGGUGAAGUCGUAACAAGGUA